UUAUGUUUUAGUAAAGACCUAUGUCAAAGAAAGCUUCAUUGACAAGGCAGUCCUGUAAAAUGAACAAGAAAUACCCUCUACUUGCAAAACAUGCGGGUCCUAAAUUAGAACCGAUCCCAAAAAGAAACAAUGAGCGAGAAGGAGCGGAGUAACAGACGAGGCGGGCUGAAUAGAGACCAGCCAGAACAAUAGCUGCACCUGGUGUUAGGAGCCGAGAAACAGAGCGGGCACGCGUCAACAGCAGAGGGCACAUCUGUUACCCUCACAAUGGCCCAGCCCCCCACUUCUCCAGCAUGGAGCAUCUUGGUGCCCUGGGACACGGAAGAAGGAAGCCAAAAAUGCACGACAAGAGUUGCAGCUGGGGAUCUUUAUUGUAAAUUAACCCAAACAAACUUGGGUUGCACAAGGAAUCCUGGCUAAAGCCACUCUAAAAAUGAAAUCAGCGAGUGGAUCUGAAGUUCCCCGCGUGAGGCUGCACCGCCCCACGUCUGCGGUUCUUACACGCAAGCGGAGACCGAGACGUUUGCAAAACCCGUCGGCUUUUCCAGUCCUGAGAAGGGAUACAGAAGUCAAGUUCCUGUACGGUGGCAAGAUUCUUCUGAAGGACUCUCUGACUGAAAACCAAACCUCUCGAAAAUGACCGAAUAUCAUCUCGAGAAUCACCCUGUGGCAGGAUCGCACAAAUCGAAUCCCGAAUUAACAGCACGAGAAUUUUUGAAAGAUAAAAAGAAACUGCAUUUAAUUCAGACCCCAAAGUAACCCUUACCGAAGCUCUCUCUUUUCAAAGAUGCCCCCACCGUUCCAAUCUCCAACUUGUUUGCCUGCCUCAGCCAGUCACACUAUAACGGGUAGUGUGAUUAUUAAAAUGUGCCUC